rnacentral:rRNA from 1 species
UACAGAGGGUGCAAGCGUUAAUCGGAAUUACUGGGCGUAAAGCGUGCGUAGACGGUUACAUAAGUCGGGUGUGAAAGCCCCGGGCUCAACCUGGGAAUUGCAUUCGAGACUGCGUAGCUAGGGUGCGGAAGAGGGAAGCGGAAUUUCCGGUGUAGCGGUGAAAUGCGUAGAUAUCGGAAGGAACACCAGUGGCGAAAGCGGCUCACUGGCCCGAUACUGACGCUGAGGUGCGAAAGCGUGGGGAGCAAACAGG